UCCAGCCGGCACCGAGGGGUUCUCGGGGAGAACCUCGGCCUCAGACCGUCAGGGGCUCGAGGCGAGAUCCCUGGGGUGAGUAAAGGCAUAGUUUAAAUUGUUUAUCUUGGGGUUAUUGACAAGGGGUACGAAUCCCCUCACAGAGUUACUGGUGAGGGGAUUGAGUCACCCAGCAGGGUUCAAGUCCCUGGGAAAGCUCACCGUCUGGGGCUUCGAGUCCCCCAGGACUACUGGGCUUCCAGUCCCUCAGGACUAGGGGGUUCCAGUUCCCUCCGAGGGGUUCCCCUGGAGCAGGAAACUUAAAGCACUAUUGUAGCUGGCCGAGGAGAAAAAAAACAGGCUCGUAACACUGGAGCCAAAACAUUGCUGUACCCGCUUUUGUGGUGGAGUUCUCUUAGAUACUCUGAAUUCUUUUUGGUCUCUGGCGGUGUGCGUGUGAGCGGGUUAUGUGUUGAUUUCAGUUUGCCGGCCUCUAAAAUCAACACUGGGACGCCUGUGAAUAAAGCUCGUUAACUGGAAGAGUGUUGAAACGUAACUGACUGUUGGGUUUUCGAAGCAGUCGGGGGGUGUGUGCUAUCGAUUAUUGAUUUGUUUUCUGUGUGCGCCGCUGAAAUCGCAUUUGUGGACGCGAAGCGCCCUCUCGUGUCAGUGCGCGCCGCAUUCCCGGCCCGCGUGGGAGCGGGCGGGCGGGCAGGGGCACCCCCAGUUGCAGCUCCCCCGUUCCCCCGCCGGCAUCUUAGCUCGGGGAGGAGGAGGAGAAGAGAACAAGCCCAACAGACUCGCAGCACAACAGCCCUGCCCUGGCCCGGCGGGUUCUUGCCUGCUCCAGCGCCUGGGUAGUGUCACCCGCCCGCUGCAGCCCAGAACCAGCCGCGGGGACUCCCCGCGCCCAGGGAACACUGGAACCAGACAAUUCUGGAGGAAUACCAGAAACAACAGAAAAUGCAGUAAAACACUCUUGACUUGGACCAGUGGAGCUCCAGGCCAUUCCCAACAAGCUCAGCCUCCUGGGGAUCACACACACAUCCAGAUCUGGGAACCUGAGCCACUUCAGGAGCAGUGGAAAGGACCUUCUCUGGUUCUGUUGACUACAAGACCAGCUGUGAAAGUGAAAGGAAUUAACUCCUGGAUUCAUUGCUCCCAAAUUAAGAGGACUUCUGACUCAGACUGAAUUGUGGAAAACACCAGACCCUUGCAGCAGAAAAUGUUGAAGACAUCUGCAAAUGAGCAGCGAAAUGUAUAGACUAAUAUUCAUGGGAA